rnacentral:rRNA from 1 species
CGUGGGGUGCAAGCGUUGUUCGGAAUUACUGGGCGUAAAGCGCGUGUAGGCGGCCUAUUAUGUCAGGUGUGAAAGCCCUCGGCCUAACCGAGGAAGUGCGCCUGAAACUGCUAGGCUUGAGUACGAGAGAGGAGGACGGAAUUCCCAGUGUAGAGGUGAAAUUCGUAGAUAUUGGGAGGAACACCGGUGGCGAAAGCGGUUCUCUGGAUCGAUACUGACGCUAAGACGCGAAAGCGAGGGGAGCAAACAGGAUUAGAUACCCUGGUAGUCCACGCUGUAAACGAUUGAUAUUAGUUGUUGCGAGUUUAACCCUCGCAGUGACGACGCUAACGCAUUAAAUAUCCCGCCUGGGGAUUACGGCCGCAAGGUUA